rnacentral:tRNA from 1 species
CGGUGCUUCGAUGACGGGGUCAGAUCCCUUUUCCAUCGGAAAAGGGAUCUGACCCCGGGAUCUGACCCCGAGGCACCGGC